GUAAUUAUAGUAUAAAAAGUAUGUUUGUUUUCCAAACAAAUGGUUCAUUUAUGAUUAUUAUA
rnacentral:tRNA from 1 species